UACGUAGGAGGCAAGCGUUGUCCGGAAUCACUGGGCGUAAAGCGCGUGUAGGUGGCACAGGAAGUCUGCUGUGAAAGCGCCUGGCUUAACCGGGCGAGGUCGGUGGAAACUCCUGGGCUGGAGGACGGUAGAGGGGGGUGGAAUUCCGGGUGUAGUGGUGAAAUGCGUAGAGAUCCGGAGGAACACCCGUGGCGAAGGCGGCCCCCUGGGCCGCGCCUGACGCUGAGACGCGAAAGCGCGGGGAGCGAACGGG
rnacentral:rRNA from 1 species